GCUCAGGAUGAACGCUGGCGGUAUGCUUAACACAUGCAAGUUUAACGACGAAAGUCGUGAACGUACGGGUGAGUAACGCGUGAGUUAUCUACACUUAGGAGAGGGAUAACAGAUGGAAACGUUUGCUAAUACCUCGUAAAGCUUUUUAGUUAAAGUUAAAGAUUUAUCGCCUAGGUAUGAGCUUGCGUCCGAUUAGCUAGUUGGUAAGGUAAAGGCUUACCAAGGCAACGAUCGGUAGUUGUUUCGAGAGAAAGGACAGCCACACUGGGACUGAGACACGGAACAGACUUCUACGGAAGGCAGCAGUGGGGAAUUUUUGGCAAUGGGUGAGAGCCUGACCAAGCAAUACCGCGUGGAGGAAGAAGGUUUUAGGAUUGUAAACUCCUUUUUUCAUUGAAGAAAAUAUGACGGUAAAUGAAGAAUAAGCAUCAGCUAAUUUCGUGCCAGCAGCUGCGGUAAUACGAGAGAUGCAAGCGUUAUCCGGAAUUAUUGGGCGUAAAGCGUUUGUAGAUGGUUUAAUAAGUUUAGUGUCAAAUCUUGAAGCUUAACUUCAAUACGGCAUUAAAAACUAUUAGUCUAGAGUGCGAUAGGGGUAAAGGGAAUUUCCAGUGUAGCGGUGAAAUGCGUAGAUAUUGGAAAGAACACCAACGGCGAAAGCACUUUACUAGGUUGUUACUGACAUUGAGAGACGAAAGCUAGGGGAUCAAAAAGGAUUAGAUACCCUUGUAGUCCUAGCUGUAAACGAUGGAUACUAAAUGGUGCUUUUGUACUGUUGUAGCUAACGCGUUAAGUAUCCCGCCUGGGGAGUACGCUUGCAAAAGUGAAACUCAAAGGAAUUGGCGGGGACCUGCACAAACAGUGGAGCAUGUGGUUUAAUUCGAUGGUACACGAAGAACCUUACCAGGGUUUGACAUGUCAAGAAGUUUUCUGAAAGGAAGAUGUGCCUUUAUUGGAAUUUGACACAGGUGGUGCAUGGCUGUCGUCAGCUCGUGUCGUGAGAUAUUGGGUUAAGUCCCGUAACGAGCGCAACCCUUGUUUUUAGUUGUUUUCUAGAAAUACUGCCGGUGAUAAAUCGGAGGAAGGUGAGGAUGACGUCAAGUCAGCAUGCCCCUUAUGCCCUGGGCUACACACGUGCUACAAUGAUCAAUACAACGAGUAGCAAACUUGCAAAAGUAAGCAAAUCUCUAAAAGUUGGUCUUAGUUCGGAUUAUAGACUGCAACUCGUCUAUAUGAAGCCGGAAUUGUUAGUAAUCGCCGGUCAGCUAUACGGUGGUGAAUACGUUCUCAGGUCUUGCACACACCGCCCGUCACACCAUGGAAAUUGUCUAAACUCGAAGUAGUUUUCUUAUAGAUAAGCUACUAAGGUUGGGGUGGUAACUAGGGUGAAGUCGUAACAAGGUAGCC
rnacentral:rRNA from 1 species